UACGUAGGUGACAAGCGUUGUCCGGAUUUACUGGGCGUAAAGAGCGCGCAGGCGGUCGUUCAAGUCGAGCGUGAAAGCCCCCGGCUCAACUGGGGAGGGUCAUUCGAUACUGAUCGACUCGAAGGCAGGAGAGGGUAGUGGAAUUCCCGGUGUAGUGGUGAAAUGCGUAGAUAUCGGGAGGAACACCAGUGGCGAAGGCGACUACCUGGCCUGUUCUUGACGCUGAGGCGCGAAAGCUAGGGGAGCAAACGGG
rnacentral:rRNA from 1 species